GGUUCUAUAAAGUAUACAACAUUCCUGUCGUGAAAGUUCUAAAUACUUGGUUUGGAUUCGCUGUUCUUGUCUUCGGUUUUGCUUAUAUGCUUUUGUUCGACCAUGAAGAAGGAAUUUCAAGUAUAGAUAUUUUCCUUAUCAUAUGCAUGACGAGUUAUGCCAUAAAUGAAAUAAGACAGAUUUGCAUAGCCAAACACAGAG